rnacentral:rRNA from 1 species
CGCGUAGGCGGUCUGUUAAGUGUGGAGUGAAAUCCCUCGGCUCAACCGAGGACGUGCUUUGCAUACUGGUGGACUUGAGUCCGAGAGGGGGUGGUGGAAUUCCUGGUGUAGGGGUGAAAUCCGUAGAGAUCAGGAGGAACACCGUUGGCGAAGGCGGCCACCUGGAUCGGUACUGACGCUGAGGUGCGAAAGCGUGGGGAGCAAACA